rnacentral:rRNA from 1 species
ACGCACGCUGGCGGCGUGCUUCACCCCUGCCAGUCGAACGGAAAGGCCCUUCGGGGUACUCGAGUGGCGAACGGGUGAGUAACACGUGGGUGAUCUGCCCUGCACUUUGGGAUAAGCCUGGGAAACUGGGUCUAAUACCGAAUAUGAUCAUCGGCUUCAUGGUCGGUGGUGGAAAGCUUUUGCGGUGUGGGAUGGGCCCGCGGCCUAUCAGCUUGUUGGUGGGGUAAUGGCCUACCAAGGCGACGACGGGUAGCCGGCCUGAGAGGGUGACCGGCCACACUGGGACUGAGAUACGGCCCAGACUCCUACGGGAGGCAGCAGUGGGGAAUAUUGCACAAUGGGCGCAAGCCUGAUGCAGCGACGCCGCGUGAGGGAUGACGGCCUUCGGGUUGUAAACCUCUUUCAGCACAGACGAAGCGCAAGUGACGGUAUGUGCAGAAGAAGGACCGGCCAACUACGUG